CCUACGGGAGGCAGCAGUGGGGAAUAUUGCACAAUGGGCGCAAGCCUGAUGCAGCCAUGCCGCGUGUGUGAAGAAGGCCUUCGGGUUGUAAAGCACUUUCAGCGGGGAGGAAGGCGUUAAGGUUAAUAACCUCAUCGAUUGGCGUUACCCGCAGAAGAAGCACCGGCUAACUCCGUGCCAGCAGCCGCGGUAAUACGGAGGGUGCAAGCGUUAAUCGGAAUUACUGGGCGUAAAGCGCACGCAGGCGGUCUGUCAAGUCGGAUGUGAAAUCCCCGGGCUCAACCUGGGAACUGCAUUCGAAACUGGCAGGCUAGAGUCUUGUAGAGGGGGGUAGAAUUCCAGGUGUAGCGGUGAUAUGCGUAGAGAUCUGGAGGAAUACCGGUGGCGAAGGCGGCCCCCUGGACAAAGACUGACGCUCAGGUGCGAAAGCGUGGGGAGCAAACAGGAUUAGAUACCCCUGUAGUC
rnacentral:rRNA from 1 species